rnacentral:rRNA from 1 species
UGAAUACGAGACGCUAAGGCGUCGAAGUAGUGUAUGUCAUGCUUCCAAGAAAAGCUUGCACUGUCAUAGAUAAAAAACGCCUGUACCAUAACCGACACAGGUGGGUAGGUAGAGUAUACUAAGGGGCGCGAGAUAACUCUCUCUAAGGAACUCGGCAAAAUAACUCCGUAACCUCGGGAGAAGGAGUGCCUUAUUCUUAAGGUUGCAAUAACAAGAUCCAAGCAACUGUUUAUCAAAAACACAGGUCUCCGCUAAGUCGUAAGACGAUGUAUGGGGGCUGACGCCUGCCCAGUGCCAGAAGGUUAAAGAAGUUGGUUAGCAUUUGCGAAGCUGAUAACUGAAGCCCUGGUGAACGGCGGCCGUAACAAUAACGGUCCUAAGGUAGCGAAAUUCCUUGUCGGGUAAGUUCCGACCCGCACGAAAGGCGUAAUGAUUUGGAUACUGUCUCGGAGAGGGGCUCGGUGAAAUAGACUUGUCUGUGAAGAUGCGGACUACCUGCACCAGGACAGAAAGACCCUAUGAAGCUUUACUGUAACUUGAAAUUGAAAUUGGACUUUAUUCGCGCAGCAUAGGUGGGAGGCGUUGAUUAUAAUCUCGUGGGAUUAUUGGAGCCAUCAGUGAGAUACCACUCUUGUAAUGUUAGAUUUCUAACUUUGAAUCAUUAUCUGGUCAAAGAACAGUUUCAGGCGGGCAGUUUGACUGGGGCGGUCGCCUCCUAAACGGUAACGGAGGCGUACAAAGGUUUCCUCUGAACGGUUAGAAAUCGUAUCUAGAGUGUAAAGGCAUAAGGAAGCUUGACUGUGAGACCUACAAGUCGAGCAGGGACGAAAGUCGGUCUUAGUGAUCUGACGGUACUGAGUGGAAAGGCCGUCACUCAACGGAUAAAAGUUACUCUAAGGAUAACAGGCUGAUCUCCCCCAAGAGUUCACAUCGACGGGGAGGUUUGGCACCUCGAUGUCGGCUCAUCGCAUCCUGGGGCGGUAGUACGUCCCAAGGGUUGGGCUGUUCGCCCAUGAAAGCGGUACGCGAGCUGGGUUCAGAACGUCGUGAGACAGUUCGGUCCAUAUCCGGUGUAGGCGUUAGAAUAUUGAGAGGAGCCUUCUUUAGUACGAGAGGACCGAGAAGGACAUACCUCUGGUGUACCAGUUAUCGUGCCAACGGUAAACGCUGGGUAGCUAUGUAUGGAGUGGAUAACCGCUGAAAGCAUCUAAGUGGGAAGCCCACCUCAAGAUAAGUAUUCUCC